AAAACACCGGUUCCCAUACAAUCACUAAAGUUAAGCAACAUCGAGCCUGGUGAGUACCUAGAUGGGUGACGGAUUGGGAAUACUCAGUGCUGUAA